AUGGAGUCAGUUUAAUCGAACUAUGAAAACCAGAUUACUUCUUUCACUGAAUACCUCGAAGAAUAUUUAGAUACAGAUGAGCUGGUAUGGAUCUUAGAAAAGCAGCAUCUUAUUAAAACAGAAACAUCUAAGCUCUUGUCUGAUAUAAGUGUUUGUCUAUAGUUUACAUACAGAAGGAAAUUUUCACCAAUUUGGGGAACGGGCCCUUCAUCAGAUGCUGGUUGGGGAUGUAUGCUAUGCUGUGGACAGAUGAUGCUGGCUCAAGCCCUUAUAUGUAGACACUUGGGAAAGGACUGUUAUUGGGAGAUAACAAAAAGAACAACAACAACAACAAUAAAAUACCAAUGGAUCCUACAGUGCUUCUUAGAGAGAAAAAAUUGUUGCUACACUAUCCAUCAAAUGGCACAAAUGCAUCAAAUGGCACAAACAUCCAUUGCACUGGCCUCGCCUUGUACCUCCAGCCAAGCCAGAAGUGACAACCACUGGGGCAUAAUUCAUUGACUCUACUGAACAACUGGAGGAGUUUGAUCUGGAGGAA
rnacentral:lncRNA from 1 species